rnacentral:rRNA from 1 species
UACGUAGGAUGCAAGCGUUGUCCGGAUUUAUUGGGUUUAAAGGGUGCGUAGGUGGCUUAUUAAGUCGUGGGUGAAAGCUGGUAGCUUAACUACCAAAAUGCCUGCGAUACUGGUGAGCUUGAGUAAAGUUGAGGUAUGUAGAAUUGAGGGUGUAGCGGUGAAAUGCAUAGAUACCAUCAGGAAUACCAAUUGCGAAGGCGUCAUACUAAGCUUUAACUGACACUGAGGCGCGAAAGCGUGGGGAUCAAACAGG